rnacentral:ncRNA from 2 species
AUAUGGUACAGAGGCCGCGAUUGUCAUCAGUAUUGUGUAAUAUACACAAGAAAGGGGCAUUCGCCGAAAUAUGUAACUCAGGUUAUAUAUUGGGACUAUGCUUAACAAGUAUAGUACUGUCUUAGAGAGAUUGCCCAAUUUUUCUAAGGAGUGCUUAUCAUAU